rnacentral:rRNA from 1 species
AUUGAACGCUGGCGGCAGGCCUAACACAUGCAAGUCGAGCGGAUGAGUGGAGCUUGCUCCAUGAUUCAGCGGCGGACGGGUGAGUAAUGCCUAGGAAUCUGCCUGGUAGUGGGGGACAACGUUUCGAAAGGAACGCUAAUACCGCAUACGUCCUACUGGAGAAGGUGGGGGAUCUUCGGACCUCACGCUAUCAGAUGAGCCUAGGUCGGAUUAGCUAGUUGGUGAGGUAAAGGCUCACCAAGCCGACGAUCCGUGACUGGUCUGAGAGGAUGAUCAGUCACACUGGAACUGAGACACGGACCAGACUCCUACGGGAGGCAGCAGUGGGGAAUAUUGGACAGUGGGCGAAAGUCUGAUCCAGCCAUGGCGAGUGUGUGAAGACGGUCUUCGGAUUGUAAAGCACUUUAAGUUGGGAGGAAGGGCAGUAAGUUAAUACCUUGCUGGUUUGACGUUACCAACAGAAUAAGCACCGGCUAACUUCGUG